CAGGUCUUGGGCAUGAUGGCCGGACGCGAUGAGGAGGACAUACUGGAUCCCCAUGGACGCCAAGGAUUCGAGGACAUUGGCAGAUGUAGAGGAGGCAAUGAGGACGGAGAUGAUUGCGGCACACAAUUUAAAUAAACUAGAAUAUCCUGAAAAUUAUAUUUGGUGUAUAGAAUUCAGUUUUAGUCUUUGAGUACAUUUUCAUGAUUCGCUUAUUCCAGUAGUGAGUAAAAAUAUGUAAAACUACGUGACUUGUAAAUUUUUGAGUCUGUCGUGCGUCCCAACGAUUCCACCGGCAUCGGCCCUCCCCUACCGUGGUGCGGACUGCAGUAUUAGCGGUCUCCUUGGAGUCCUGAAGCAGCUCAAGGGCAUCGUCCUUGGAAAAGAUGGUUCUGUUAGAUAAAUGUCUUCCCAAGUUAAAGGCACAUGGCUCCGAAGUACUAAUAUUCUCUGAGGGGCACCAUAACAUAUGAAAAUUUUGAAGAGCUUUGUGAAGAUUUGUGGGAGCAGCUCCGACUCCAAUUAAAGAAGUUCCACGCAGCGGGCAUGAAGAUUGGUCACAUCUAUAUGUUUAGUUGUGCUGCAGGACAUGUGCUAUUCUGAAAAUGGAGCUUCUCUAUUGGAUGGCAGCUCAUGAUGGUAGUUUCAGAUAUGAAGCUAAGGAAAGCGUGCCUCAUAAUUCAUUAGAUGUAUCCCAGUAGGGCCAAUUAGAUAUUGUUGGUUGUAAAUGACAUGAGUUUUUAGCUUUCAUAAAAUCUAGAUUUGUACUCUUUAACAAUAAGCUGUG